rnacentral:rRNA from 1 species
GUAGUCCAUGCCGUAAACGAUGAUUACUAGGUGUUGGGGGAUUGACCCCCUCAGUGCCGCAGUUAACACAAUAAGUAAUCCACCUGGGGAGUACGACCGCAAGGUUGAAACUCAAAGGAAUUGACGGGGGCCCGCACAAGCAGUGGAGUAUGUGGUUUAAUUCGAAGCAACGCGAAGAACCUUACCAGGUCUUGACAUCCGAUGCAUAGCACAGAGAUGUGUGAAAUCCUUCGGGACAUCGAGACAGGUGGUGCAUGGUUGUCGUCAGCUCGUGUCGUGAGAUGUUGGGUUAAGUCCCGCAACGAGCGCAACCCUUAUUGCCAGUUACUACGUUAAGAGGACUCUGGCGA